UACAGAGGGGGCUAGCGUUAUUCGGAAUUAUGGCGUAAAGGGCGCGUAGGCGGCCAUGCGUGUCUUCCGUGAAAUCCCUCGGCUUAACUGAGGACGUGCGGAAGAAACUGCAAGGCUCGAGUCCGGGAGAGGGGGGUGGAAUUCCCAGUGUAGCGGUGAAAUGCGUAGAUAUUGGGAGGAACACCGGUGGCGAAGGCGGGUCUCUGGACA
rnacentral:rRNA from 1 species